ACUAAGCUUCUUUUUAUUUAAAACCGCAAGGAGCAAUGGAGAGUUUAGGUAAAGACCAUGCAUACUCGGACCCUUCCCUGCCACCGUCUGCAUCCUCUGAGGAAUACACUGUGCCAGAUGUCAUCAUCACACGCCGCUUGAGAGACAGGGAGUUGCUCCGGAAGAGAAAAGCAGAAGCCCAGGAGAAAGACUCAAUUCA